rnacentral:misc_RNA from 1 species
AAAGAGUGUUUACCAUUGUGCAUGGUGGGAAUAAGAUCCCAAGUUGGUUCCACCAUCAGGGAAUAAAUGAAAGUGUAUCGAUCAAUUUGCCUGAAAAUUGGUAUGUAAGUGAUAACUUUUUGGGAUUUGCUGUAUGUUACUCUGGCAACCUAAUUGACAUCACAGUUGACUUGAUUCCCUUGUGUGAUGAUCGGAUGACCCAGAAACUAGAAUUAUCCACCCUUCCAAAUUAUGAUUCAGAAUCAUCCAGCGGUUUAGAAUGUGAUACUGAACCUACUAUUCAUUUUUU